GCCCUUGUGGCGUAGUGGUAGCGCGUCGCACUUGUAGCACCGUCAUGGUCGCCUUCAUGCGAAGGUCCCUAGUUCAAUCCUGGGCGGGGGCA
rfam:Magnaporthe oryzae 70-15 chromosome 6, whole genome shotgun sequence.